rnacentral:lncRNA from 1 species
GCGGGAGGCUGUCGCUCGGGUCCGGCUGCGGGCCACAGGCCGCGGAUCGCGCUCUGCCAGCGCCCCACGCCCGCAAGCGCGGCCCCUCCGCCACCUCGCGGCCCGGCCUGACCUGUUAAUCACGUCCCCACGGCUCUCCUAGCGGGGACACCGCCGUCUGCAGGCUCCGUCCCCACAGUGCCCAGACCCCGGGAAGUUUGUCAGUCAGCACCCUGAUGCCAGCCGAUUCUCAAAAAGCCAGGAGGAUCCAAGCAGAUGAUUUGCCAGACGGUACUGCAGCAAUGGAGAUGAACAGAUAAUUCACACAGAAAGAAGGACGAGGGAUUGGAUCAAGCUGGGGCGAGAUAGAGUGGGGAAGUGAUGAGCUAAGAAAAAUUAGCCUGCAAGCAUGACGUGUCGCACGUCAGCAAGGCUGCAGCCUUGGAUUCUGAUGUCUUGAGAAGAGCGAUUCACCUGUGAAUUCUCACAGCCCUGGCCUCAGAAAGACGGCCCGGGACCAGGCCCGAUGGCACCCCUCUUCCCAGCUCUCAGCCAGGGCGGAAGGCACAAGUGAUGGCCCUGGCCUCCGCAGUCACACUCCUCCUGAAAGCUGACUGGCUGAACCUCACCUCUUGGCUAGCUUGCCACCCAGCUCUUGAGAACAUGUUUGUCCAAGGCCUCUUGGCAGGUCUCGAUGACUCCUUCCCCUAAGGGCCCCCAGUCACCUGCUAAGGCUCCCAGGCCCCUGUGAAACUGGCUCGGUGCCCCAAUAGACUCUCCACCUCCAGACCCUAAGCCGGCCAGCCCAGAGUGCAGCAAGGCACCACACCUACCCUGUGAGGGCACUCGGGCCCCGCGCUGGCCUCUGACAGCACAGGAAGCUUCUGCAUUCACGCUGAGGCCUGUCUUUUGCCUUCCUUAGAUAAACUUGCCAGAAACCCCAUAGUGCUUCAGGCCUUUGGGAUAAUUCCCCUGAGCCCCAUAGGCCAGGGCCUGGCAUUCAGUAGUUGCUCUAAAAUUGUGUUUUCACCCACUCUCUUCCAGGUAGUCAGGACAGGGAAGCCCAGGCUUCUGGUCACCACUCACCAAAUCUCUCCCCUGCCCCUCUAUCAGGGAUCAGCUCCUAUAGGCCUUAACCUAGCAGACUAGGUAAAGCAGAGCUGGUGGCAUCAAGGGUCCCGGGGGCUGCAGAGCCCUGGCUGGUACAGGAGGCUGGGCUCUCCUGUAGGUCUGCACCUUCCCAGCAACGCGGAGGGCACCAGACCCUGCCUGCUCCAGAGGCUGUACCUGAAAGAUGAAGUGCUCGUCAAACUGCGGGUUGGAGGUUUUGCGUUUGGUCUUGGAUUGGAGGAAGCGCCGCUCAUCGGGCAGCAGGUAGAGCUUCACCAGGGGGCUGCAGGUCUCCGAGGGGGCUUGCAGGUGCUGUGCCUUGAUCAAGCCCACCAGCAGCCGCUCAGCCUCCUGCUCAUAUUCCACCGAGAACCACAGCCGCCCCAGGCAGCCGUCGGGGAAGUCGGUCUCACUUUUGUCCUCCGGGAACUUGUACAGCUCUGGGUUGAUGGCCCCCACCAUACAUGCAUCUCCUAUGACAGAGGGUGGGAGGGCUGGCAGGCCAGAGGAAGGCAGGGGCAUGGGAGACAGUGGCAAGCUCUGGGCACCCAUCCCCAUCCUGGCCCAUCCGUCUCUGCUGAGCCUCAGCUAGCCUGACCACAUCUGCCCCACUCUCCUCACCAGGCUAAACACAUCCCCUCUCUCUGGUGCAGCUCCUCCAAGAAGCCUUCUCACCAUGAAGGCAUUGCAUGGCCAGGCUGGGGAUCCAGCAGAGUCCUGCCCCCUGGGAUUGGCCCCCAUCCUUGGAGGUCAGGACCUGUUUCAAGGACACAGUGCCCAUCACCUGGCCUAGCCCCCUUCCAUGGCGUCUAGGGAAUGACUCAGCGAUAAAACAUUGCCUUUCUUCUUCCUCUUCAAAUUAGAAGGGCCAAGGUGAUUAUUGGGUGGUUCCUGUGAUGGUCUCUUGGUAGAUCUUCAGGGCAAAGAGGUGGCAGAAAGCUGUGUUUGCAGCCCCUACCAUUCUGUCCUCUUGGUCAACCAACCCAUCAUCCUAGAGUGGGACCCAGCACAAGUUCUGUACAUGGCGUGCCUGGGUUCCAAUUCCAAUCUGUUGCUUACAGCCUCAGUUAAGACUAUGUAAAAUGGGGUGAUAAUUCCUCCCCCUCAGAGUCAUGGUGAGGUCUCACUCCAAAUCAGCACCCAAGGCCAUAUCUUACCCUCAUGGGGUGCAGCAAGCACUUCAUAAAUGAAAGCACCCAGAAAGAGUGGUCCCUGGGUGGUCCCUGGCAUCCCUGGCUGGUUCAGGUUGUGUUCCGGAGCCAAGCUGGUGAAAGCAGAUGGGGCCACCCGAGCAGACCCUGACCUCUGGGCAGCCCUGGCAAGGACACUCACCAAGGCCGCCGCUGGAGGUGUGAGGCAGCAGCUCUGAUGCCGGGCAGGGGUCCCAUGGGGCAUCGGCCCACUCUCCACUGUGCAGGGGCACCCAAUCUCGGCCUUGAAGGGUUGGGGGCACCACGAAUGGCACAGCUGGUGGCCUGUCCAGAGUCAGGGAGACAACAUGUAGGUGGCAAGUCAAUGGUGUGGUCUCAGAGCGCUCAGCCAGGACGGUUGAGCACCAGGGGCUGGAGGAAGAAAAGCCAUCGGGAGCCAGGAGGAGGCCAGGGCACCAUUUUCUGGGCCCAUACCAGGCAACACACACACACACACACGCACACACACACACACACACACACACACACACACACACAGCAGUGGGAUUUGAAGAAGGAACACAGCACCUGACAGUGUCAGCCAGUCUGGGUUUGGAUUCCUGUUCUGCCACUUACUAAUUGUGUUCUCUGGACCUGUUGCUUAUGUGCACUGAGCCUCAGAUUCCUCACCUGGAACAUGGGUUUCAUAACACCUGCCUAAUAGCUGAUGUGAGGUUUCUGGGGUUUCUUUGUGAUAGCUCCCAGCACCGAAGCAGCAUAGAAGAGGCACCCCCAUAAACAGAACUUUCCUUUUCGACCCCACCCUGAGGGAAAUUCCAGGGGCGCACUUGGCCCCACAUCCUGCCUCACCUGCUCAGUUGGGUCCUAGCAUGCGGCUGGCAGGGCCUGUCCCGCUGCCCACUGGAGGCAGCUGUGGUGGCCAUGGCUGGUGUCCCAGGCAGCUCCUCAUAGGUGAGGGUGGCACAGAACCUUCUCCACAGACAGCAGCUUGCCCCGAUCAACAGCAGCAGCAGCAGCCCCCCGAUGGUGCCCCCAAUCACCAGGGCCAGCUGCUCUGGGGGCAGAGACCACCAGUACUAUGAUGCCUGCCUGGGAAAGCCACUCUCCCUCACAGCCCUGGCCUGCUGGGGCAGAACUAGGGCAGCAACCCUGCCUCUGGGUUUGAUCUCAGGAGUGAUAGGAGCAGGCCUGCUGGGGAUGGGUUCCGGGAGGGAUGCUGCUGGCUAGGUUCCGCCAGCUCUCAGAGGAGAAGCCGUUUACCCCAGGGUCUGAGAGCCCUGGGCAGAACCUUCUAGUUUUCCUUGGAAAACAGCUGGCCCUGCCCUUGGGAUUCUGGCUUAAAGAAGCCAUUUCCUUGCGCUUCUGAGUAGAAAUCAAACCUGCCCUCACCAGAACCUCCAUAUCCCCUGGGCUCCUGUUGAGGCCAGGAGGGGAGCUGGGGUGUGGACGCAGUCAGUUAAGGAAAGCCCUGAAAGGUACCUUCCCCCUGGUCUGCAAUCAAACCUCUACCCUCUGGGGCCCUGGAACCUGCUGCAAGGCUGGACUCUUCUCUAACACCCGCUCCCUCCCCUAGCCCUCUAUCAAGGUGAGCACGCGCUUAGGGGAGUUGGUGCGACGCGGUGGACGAGGUGGGGAGGAAAAGGGGGCAAGACCCCGUUGCUGCUGGCCCUCACACGUCCGCAUUUGCGGGACCUAGGAGGCUUCGCCCCGGGGGUGCUCAGACGCUGGGUUCCAACCGCUGGCCACCUGGGGCGGGCCAAAAAGGUGCCUCCCUUAGGGUGACGUGCGGCCGCGGGGCAUUCAGGUCUCAGGGAUCUGCACUGGGUGGGGUGGUGAGAAGGCCGGACCCCCCACACCUCCUAAGCCGCAACUGACCGCGAAGAGCGGGCCUCAGCGUCUACUCCAUCCCAGUGCCCCUCCAAGAGCGCGCCGAGGCCGGGCAGGGCAGGCGCUGCACCCCAGCGGGGGCGGCGGGGCGGAGGCAAGUGCUGGAAGGGUCGCAGAGGGGCCGGGGCUGGGCUGGGGAGGCGAGGCUCGCUUACCCGCCAUGGGGCUGCUCCCGCAGGCUGGUCUCGCCGGUCUGGGCGGCUGGGGCUGGGCUGCCAGGCCGUCUCUUAAAGCGCCGCGGGGCGCCGUCGGGCGAGCACAGGGGCGGUCCGUGGUGCUGCUGGUGCCCAGCUGCGGCGCGGGGAGCCGCGCAGUGCACGGCAGGGGCAGGGACCCAGCGCCCCGAGGCCGCAGUCCCGCCCCAGCCCGUCCCUGGCCCAGGCCCAGGCCCGGCGGUGGAGGGGCGCAGAGCCGACCGUGAGCUCCCGGAAACCGCAGGGCUCCAGCCAGGGCGGGUCCCGGGCGCCAGGGGCGCCAGGGGCUCCCUGCGGCUUGGGGCAGGGUGGGGUGAGAGUACCACCCCCAUCCCGGAGAGCAGGGCUACAGCCUUCACCGCCGCGUCUGACACAGGGCUCCGCACCCGACCCCUCACACCUGGUGGCCAGGACUGAGCCCCCGCCCUCCCAGAUCCUCCUCAAGCCGAGGCCCCUCCAGCCGCAGCUCCGACCCCGGCUCGGGGGAGCCUUCCCGGAUCCCGGGGUGGAGUCUCCGCGCGGGUCCCCGGCCCCAGCGCUGCCUGCCUGAUGGCCUUGGGCAGGGAUGCGGCGCUCGCGCACCCGUUCGCUCUCAGCGGACAAACCGGUCGAGAGCGCAAUUCUGGAGCGGGUUCCAGAAGCUCCUGGGUUCCAAUUCAGGCUCCUCACUCGCCAGCCCUGCGAUUUGGGACAACUUAACGUUCGUAAGCUGGGUUCAGUCUUCUCAAUUGGGUUAAUGUCCGUGAGGGGCUCUCGUAAGGGCGGCUGGCCUGCCGGUAACUUAAGAAGCAUGUAAAGAGCACUUAGAGCGGAGGAGCGGCGCGGCCCAGCCCCUGUUACGGUGGUUAUCGGAUGGAGGCCAGCGUCGCCUGGGUCCCCUCUGUACACCCAGCGCCUAUUAUUAUGGUGAUUAUUAGAACGCAGGGCCCGUGCCCACUAGUCCAGGCUGGCGAACGCGCCUUGCGGGAAAGGCGGGAGUAAGGUCGCUGCGUGUCCUCUCUGGUCACACCUCGGCGCGCCCUGGUCGCGCCCCUAUGGUUCCCCCGCCGAGGCCUCGAGGCGUCUGAGUGGGGAGCGAAAGGAAUGUGUGUAUCUGUGGUGCAGGGGAGUGUGUGUGUGUGGGGGGGGGGAGGGGGUGGUUGUGGGGGAGUGCGUGUUUUGGGGGGAUGGACCUUCUCGUUUUACAGCCUUGAAGGUUAUGUCCAGAGUCAUAGCCUGGGUCCCACACCCCCGCGUCACCUGUGCCUGUCCUAGGGGGCAGUCAGUGUGCGUGAGGCUCCACCCUGCCUGGGCUUUGGCUCACCUAAGGCGAGGAGGGUGGUGAACUGGGGUGCCCCACUGGGCCGGGUCUGGGAGCCCUCAGCGCCAGGGUGCAGAGGCCGCAGCCACUCCCCUUCUAGGGUCUGGGCGGUGGGGGCAUGAGAAGGCGGAGACCCAGGCCACUUCACCCAGUAACUGUCCUCAGCUGUGCGCUUAACUGGCGAGAUCUCCGCUCUACUUGGAGACAGUCUGGGGUGUCUGGAGAAUCCUCCCCCACUUCUGCUUACCCCAGGUCGCUGUGGGAGCAGGUGUCUCAGGAAAUGGGGCCUGGGUCCCACCCAAGGCCUCGGGUCUGAGUUAGAUGUCUGUAUGUUUGUUGUUGCCCCUGCAACAAAGUACCACAGAUUGAGUAGUUUAAGCCACAUGCAUGUUAUCUCACAGUUCGGGGGGUCGGGAAUCUAAACUGGGUUGGCAGGGCCUGUGCCUUCUGGAGGCAAGGGAGCUGUUUCCCAGCGUUUCCAGCUCCUAGAGGCUGCUAGCUAGUGGCCCUUUCCUUUGUCUUCAAAGCCGGCAGCACAGCCUUUUCUAACCUCUCCCACUCCAGGUCAUUUCACAUCAACUCUUUCUGCCUCCCUCUUGUAAGUGUGAUACCCUACCUUGUUUUAACCUGAAUUGACUGUCCCUUAGCUGAGAGAGCCAGACACACUCCAUUUUGGCUCCUUCACUUGCAGCCCCUUACCCACCCCCCUUCCUCAAGGACUUAACUUGUGCAAGCUGACUCCCAGCACAUCAAAGAAUGCAAUUAAUGGAUAAGAUACUGUGGCAAGCUAUAUCCGCAGUUCCCAGGAAUUUGCCCAGUUGAUAGUACCCUAAGCCCCCACAUUUGUGUCCGGUUGAUGGUACCCAAAGCCCCCGCAUCUAUCGCCUUGUGAUGGAUUUAAAACCCCUGCACCUGGAACUGUUUGUUUUCCUGUAACCAUUUGUCUUUUAACUUUUUGCCUGUUUUGCUUCUGUAAGAGUGCUUCAGCUAGGCUCCUCCUCCCCUUUCUAAACCAAAGUAUAAAAGAAAAUCUAGCCCUUUCUUCAGGGCCGAGAGAAUUUUGAGCACUAGCCGUCUCUCGGUUGCCGGCUAAUAAAGGACUUCUGAAUU